GUAAUACAUCGGAACGUACCCAGUAGCGGGGGAUAGCCCGGCGAAAGCCGGAUUAAUACCGCAUACGCCCUACGGGGGAAAGGGGGGGAUCGUAAGACCUCUCACUAUUGGAGCGGCCGAUGGCUGAUUAGCUAGUUGGUGGGGUAAAGGCCUACCAAGGCAACGAUCAGUAGCUGGUCUGAGAGGACGACCAGCCACACUGGGACUGAGACACGGCCCAGACUCCUACGGGAGGCAGCAGUGGGGAAUUUUGGACAAUGGGCGAAAGCCUGAUCCAGCAAUGCCGCGUGUGCGUAGAAGGCCUUCGGGUUGUAAAGCACUUUUGUCAGGGAAGAAAUCGUUCGGGCUAAUACCUCGGGCAGUUGACGGUACCUGAAGAAUAAGCACCGGCUAACUACGUGCCAGCAGCCGCGGUAAUACGUAGGGUGCAAGCGUUAAUCGGAAUUACUGGGCGUAAAGCGUGCGCAGGUGGUUCGUUAAGACAGUUGUGAAAUCCCCGGGCUUAACCUGGGAACUGCAAUUGUGACUGGCGGACUAGAGUUUGGCAGAGGGGGGUGGAAUUCCUGGUGUAGCAGUGAAAUGCGUAGAUAUCAGGAGGAACACCGAUGGCGAAGGCAGCCCCCUGGGCCAUGACUGACACUCAUGCA
rnacentral:rRNA from 1 species